rnacentral:tRNA from 1 species
GGGGAUAUAGCUCAGUUGGUAGAGUGCUUGCCUUGCAUGCACAAGGCCCUGGGUUCAAUCCCCAGCACACACA